rnacentral:rRNA from 1 species
AGAGUUUGAUCCUGGCUCAGGAUGAACGCUAGCGGCAGGCCUAACACAUGCAAGUCGAGCGGGGUAGCAAUACCUAGCGGCGGACGGGUGCGUAACGCGUACGGAACUUGCCCUGGAGUGGGGGAUAACAGUUCGAAAGGACUGCUAAUACCGCAUAAUGCAGCGGCUCCAUAAGGAGACAGUUGUUAAAGAUUUAUUGCUUCAGGAGAGUCGUGCGUAAGAUUAGCUAGUUGGCGGGGUAACGGCCCACCAAGGCGACGAUCUUUAGCUGGUCUGAGAGGAUGAUCAGCCACACUGGCACUGAGAUACGGGCCAGACUCCUACGGGAGGCAGCAGUGGGGAAUAUUGGGCAAUGGGCGAAAGCCUGACCCAGCCAUGCCGCGUGCAGGAAGAAGGUCCACUGGAUUGUAAACUGCUUUUCUUCGGGGAUAAGGCGCCAUUAGAUGGCGAUUGAAGGUACCGAGGGAAUAAGCACCGGCAAACUACGUGCCAGCAGCCGCGGUAAUACGUAGGGUGCAAGCGUUGUCCGGAUUUAUUGGGUUUAAAGGGUGCGUAGGCGGUUUAGUAAGUCGUAGAUGAAAUGUUUGGGCUCAACCUAGGCACUGUUUACGAUACUGCUAGACUUGAAUAAGCUUGAGGUGGCUAGAAUGAGUGGUGUAGCGGUGAAAUGCGUAGAGAUCACUCAGAAUACCAAUUGCGAAGGCAGGUCACUGGAGCUAUAUUGACGCUGAGGCACGAAAGCGUGGGGAGCAAACAGGAUUAGAUACCCUGGUAGUCG